AGCUUUGCGCAGCGACGAUAUCGUAUCCGAUGAUGCUGUGUCGAGGUGCGAUUAUUGCUAGUUGAAAACUAAUACCAAUACACCGCCAAUAGAAAAUAUGUGUUUCAGGGCAACGUGCAUGACG
rfam:Anopheles maculatus strain maculatus3 cont1.35385, whole genome shotgun sequence.